UACGUAGGGGGCAAGCGUUGUCCGGAAUUAUUGGGCGUAAAGAGCGUGUAGGCGGUUCGGUAAGUCUGCCGUGAAAACCUGGGGCUCAACCCCGGGCGUGCGGUGGAUACUGCCGGGCUAGAGGGUGGUAGAGGCGAGUGGAAUUCCCGGUGUAGCGGUGAAAUGCGCAGAUAUCGGGAGGAACACCAAUGGCGAAGGCAGCUCGCUGGGACGGUACUGACGCUGAGACGCGAAAGCGUGGGGAGCAAACAGG
rnacentral:rRNA from 1 species